rnacentral:rRNA from 1 species
AGUGAACGCUGGCGGUAGGCCUAACACAUGCCAGUCGAACGGCAGCACAGUAAGAGCUUGCUCUUACGGGUGGCGAGUGGCGGACGGGUGAGGAAUACAUCGGAAUCUACUUUUUCGUGGGGGAUAACGUAGGGAAACUUACGCUAAUACCGCAUACGACCUACGGGUGAAAGCAGGGGAUCUUCGGACCUUGCGCGAUUGAAUGAGCCGAUGUCGGAUUAGCUAGUUGGCGGGGUAAAGGCCCACCAAGGCGACGAUCCGUAGCUGGUCUGAGAGGAUGAUCAACCACACUGGAACUGAGACACGGUCCAGACUCCUACGGGAGGCAGCAGUGGGGAAUAUUGGACAAUGGGCGCAAGCCUGAUCCAGCCAUACCGCGUGGGUGAAGAAGGCCUUCGGGUUGUAAAGCCCUUUUGUUGGGAAAGAAAAGCAGCAGGUUAAUACCCCGCUGUUCUGACGGUACCCAAAGAAUAAGCACCGGCUAACUUCGUG